rnacentral:misc_RNA from 1 species
UAGGAUUUUAUCCCUAUUUACUUGGGGUAACAGAUUCUAGUUUGACUAAACGCUUAUCUCUAUAUAUAACUAGUCGGAGCUAACACACGUUCUGAUACCCAUACUGAUAUGAACCUGUUUAAUUCCACCUCAAAAGCUAGCAUACAAAGGGAGGUUUGCAAACUCACAUAUAUAACACCCAAGACUUCCUUGCAGAACUGAUGUGGGACG